rnacentral:tRNA from 1 species
GGUGAUUUAGCUCAGCGGUAGAGCGCUUGCCUAGGAAGCGCAAGGCCCUGGGUUCGAUCCCCAGCUCCG